AUUGUUAUUUAUUUUGCGCCUAUCGUUUCUUUUUUAAUGUCUAGGCACUGUCGUUUAUUUUGUGCCCUAUUGUUUCUUUUUUUAAUGUUCUUGACUUUAAACUAACUAAAGUGAACAAUUAAAGUUUUAUUUUAAUUGAAUAUUUGAAUAAAUGAUUACUAAUGAAUAAUAAUUUUGUUUAUAAUGUAUGAGUACAAUAUUUUAAGGUAAGAAACGCACUAUCAUUUAUUUUGCGUCCAAUCGUUUCUUUUUUAUUGUUCUUAACGUUAAAGAAA
rnacentral:lncRNA from 1 species